AUUGAACGCUGGCGGCAGGCCUAACACAUGCAAGUCGAGCGGAGCGGCGGACGGGGGAGUAAUGCCUAGGAAUCUGACUGGAAGUGGGGGAUAACGUCAGGAAAUGGGUGCUGAUACAGCCUACUAUCAGUUGAGACGCGGUCGGAUUAGCUAGUUGGUGGGGUAAAGGCCUACCAAGGCGACGAGCCGUAACUGGUCGGAGAGGAUUAUCAGUCACACUGGAACUGAGACACGGUCCAGCCUCCUACGGGAGUCCGCAUUGGGGAAUAUUGGACAAUGGGCGAAAUCCUGAUCCAGCCAUGCCGCGUGUGUGAAGAAGGUCUUCGGAUUGUAAAGCCCUUUAAGUUGGGCGGCGUUACCCACAGGAUGGGCACCGGCUAGCUUCGUACCAGCAGCCGCGGUAAUUC
rnacentral:rRNA from 1 species